CGGCUGCAGGACACAGCCCAGCAGGAGAAGCUUUUCCCUCCAUUCUUUCAAGGAAUCUCGCUCUGUUACCCAGGCUGGAGUGAAGUGGCCCAAUCUCGGCUUACCACAACCUCUGCCUCCCAGGUUCAAGCGAUUCUCCUGCCUCAGCCUCCCAAGUAGCUGAGAUUACAGAGAGAUAUAUGCCCAGGAUGGGGCUGAAUAAAAAGCUAAUAAUAAUAGCCACCACCUGUGGAGAGCUUCUCUUGGACCACGCAUUCUGCUAAGUCCUUCUCUUGUAUGAGGACCAGUUGUGCCCAGAGAACCUUCUCUGUCUCCUCUAACCAUGGGAUAAAAGGAGAUUUCCACAAGAGCGGCUCAGGGACGCAGCCCAUCUCUUAAGAAGGAGGCUCUGAGAGGGACAAGACCAUGGAUGCAGCACAUGGCCACAAGGCAGUUUCAAGAUGCCCAUGUCAGGCAGAGGAUGGCUCAGUGGUCUCUAACCCACCUAACAUUUCAUGAACUUUACUCCUGGUCCCGCUCCCAAAUUAGACACUGGAGAUAAUGGAUCACUAUACUGCACUGAAGACUCGGAGGGGUUGAGCCGCUGGAGCCACGCAAAUUCAGACACCUCUUCCGCCCCAGGUCACUCUACUCGCCCACGCUGCCUGCCACACCCAUCCGGUUGUGCGGGACACUCCCCGCGUUUCUUCAGCGAUUCUUAUCGGGCUCCCUCCUUGUUCAAUAAAGGUGAAGGGUGUGGGGUUUUCUGUGCAUACGCUC
ensembl:lncRNA novel transcript